rnacentral:rRNA from 1 species
GACGUAGGGUGCGAGCGUUGUCCGGAAUUAUUGGGCGUAAAGAGCUCGUAGGCGGCUUGUUGCGUCGGCUGUGAAAACCCGCGGCUCAACCGUGGGCUUGCAGCCGAUACGGGCAGGCUAGAGUUCGGUAGGGGAGACUGGAAUUCCCGGUGUAGCGGUGAAAUGCGCAGAUAUCGGGAAGAACACCCGUGGCGAAGGCGGCUCUCUGGGACGGUACUGACGCUGAGACGCGAAAGCGUGGGGAGCGAACAGG